ensembl:lncRNA
CGCAGCAGGGUCUCAAAGGCUGAGGCGCCGGCCGCCCUGAGGCCCGGAGCAAGGCUGCCCCAGCGCCGCACCAUGGACUCGCGACCCGAGGAGUAUGAGCUCAAUGGCGACGUGCGCCCGGGCUCGCUUGGCUCCCCGGACGCGUCGGACUUGAUUCCUAGGGUGGGUCUUGCAGGGGCUGCACAGCCUUCUCUGGGCCUCUUGUUCUAUUAAUAAGCACUUCCCUUUCGAGCCCUUAUCUGGGCCCUCACCUGCUGAUCCGAUCAACCCCCACAUCCCUGGGAAGGAGACCAGGCUCAAAGGGGGGGACACCAGGGUGGGCCCAGGCCUGCAGCCCCCUGCCGCAGAGCCCAGGCUGACCGCCCCCCUCCCUGCAGCCACCCCGCUGGGGCAGGAACCAGCCAAUCAACAUGAACCAUUAUGCCAAUAAGAAGAGUGCGGCCGAGAGCAUGCUGGACAUCGCACUGCUGUUGGCCAACGCCUCCCAGCUGAAGGCUGUCAUCGAGCAGGGCCCUGGAUUCGCCUUCUUCAUCCCCCUGGUGGUCCUCAUCUCCGUCUCCCUCAUGCUGCAGAUCGGUGUGGGCGUGCUGCUCAUCUUCCUUGUCAGGUAUGACCUCAACAACCCUGCCAAGCAUGCCAAGCUGGACUUCCUCAACAAUCUGGCCACCGGCCUGGUCUUCAUCAUCGUCGUGGUCAACAUCUUCAUCACUGCCUUUGGCGUCCAGAAGCCCACGAUGGACAUGGCACCUCGGCAGUAGGGGUUCGGAUGCCCCCGGAUCGUGCCUGGCCGCAGCUGCCUAAACCCAGGAGGCGCCUUGCCCUUGAGGCCCACCCUCCUGUGCGUGCAUUCCCCCAAACCGCCAUAGCCCAGGCUGGCCCCGCUGGACUGCAUCCAAGCAAGCCACCCACGGUCAGGCCACUCCGGCCAGCACAGGGCCUGCCCCAUCCUCAGCUGCUCCUCCUCCUGGAGCAUGGCGCAGUGAUGCCCAGAAGACAGAACUGUAGAGUCCUCAGCAAGGGUCGUCGCUGCCGUGGACAUGCAGCAGGCCCAAGGAUGGGGGGGCAAGAGGCUGGCGCCGUCUCAGGACAUUUCCAGAGGGAUGAGGAGGCGCCUGCCCUCUGCCAGUGCAGCAGUGUCCUGGCCUUGUGUGCUGCCCACCCUGAGUGACCCAUGACCUCUGCACUUCCUGACCCAGGACCGUAGACCACCAGCGACCCUGUGGGACCCCCACCGUGGCCACUGACUCAGGCCUCGCACCCUCUACCAGCAGUGACUCGGCAGGGCCCUACCCCUCCUUGGCGGUCUGAGCCCCCACUUUUCUAAGUGCAAGUAACGAGUAAAGCUGAUGCUCCCCCUCGUGUGGCUCCCAGUGCCAUCCUCCCCUCCCCCAGGCCUGGGUGCUGUGCACCGUGCCCCUCAGAGCACCAGCCUGUGCAGGCCUCCUCUCUCUCUCCCCACAAGCCUGUGACCUUUGUGGGGAGCAGCCUCUGUUGGCAUCUCCAGACAUCACCCCCAUGUGUCCUCGGGGACCGGUGACCCCUGACCAGACCCUCGUGGAAAGUUCCAGCACUCCCACAUUUCCUGCAGUUUGCAUGCCCACACAGGUCCCUUCUGCACCCACAGUACUGGCUCACCUUGUGGUGGUGCUGGACACUGCUGCUCACUCAGGCCGAGGGGACUGAGGAGAGUGGGGCUGGUGCUGAGCAAGCCUCGACCCUGCAGAGGCACCAACAAGGGCCAGGUGCUGUCUCGGGGGCACCUUGGGGCCACAUCUCACCUGGCUGGGCCCUCCAGCUCCCUCAGUCCACCCUGUGGCCUCUAGGGCCUGAGACCUCACUCUCUGUCUCCUUGUCACCUCCUUUCUGACUCCUGCUGGCCCCACCCCCUCAUCUCCUUGAGGCAACAAUGCUCUUACUUGGUCCUCUCUAGGUGAGAUACCUGAGAAUCCCCUCCAAGCAACUGGAGCCCUGGGUGGGGAUGCAGCCCCCAGGAGCUCCCAAGGCCCCUCCCCCAUCACUUCUCUUGCCCUCUCCACUUUGAGCCUGGGGGAGCUCCAACACCUUGUUCCCUUAAGACAUUCAGGUGACCCCACAGACUCUUCCGUGGGGCUGAAAAUUCAACUCUGCACAAAGUGAUUGACAAACAGGAGUGCUUCUGGGUGAGGUGAUCUAAUCCUGGUCUUUACUUUAAAUAAAUAAUCCAGG